UACGUAGGGUGCAAGCGUUGUCCGGAAUUAUUGGGCGUAAAGAGCGUGUAGGCGGCCCGGUUAGUCCGCUGUGAAAGUCCAGGGCUCAACCCUGGAAUGCCGGUGGAUACUGUCGGGCUAGAGUCCGGAAGGGGCGAGUGGAAUUCCUGGUGUAGCGGUGAAAUGCGCAGAUAUCAGGAAGAACACCCGUGGCGAAGGCGGCUCUCUGGGACGGUACUGACGCUGAGACGCGAAAGCGUGGGGAGCGAACAGG
rnacentral:rRNA from 1 species